UAGACUUUGCUUGGAGCCAGUCUAGAAUGGAGAAGUAAGACACCUCCUUCCCUCCGCUUGUCUGGGAGUUCACCUUGGACAAGUGAUAGUACUCCCUUGCCUCCCUGCCUGGGGUUACAGGUUCUAAUUAUGCAUCAAAUAUCAAGUAGAAAACAAAGCUGUUACCUUGCAUGAGGUGUUGAUCGUGAAAAGCUGAUGGAAGAAUAUUUAGGUGUAUGAUGGUGUUGGUGAUGGUAAUGAACUAAUAAUCAUAGAUGGUGAUUUAGAAAUGAUAGUACAGUAAUAUUACUGAUGGUGUUGGUGGUGGUCAUUAUGAUGGUGGUCAAAAUUGCGAUUGUGGCCGUGAUGAUGUCUGAGAUUGCAAUGUUGAGAGAUGGUGAUUAUUAUUGCAGUGUGAUAGUGAUGGUUAUUACGGCAAUGUUGUGAUGGUGGUGAAAAUGGUGAUAGUGGUUAUUGUUGCAGUGUUGUUGAUGGUGGUAAUGAUUAUAACAGUGCUGAUGUUGGUGAUGGUCGCAUGAUAAAGGUGCUGAUAGUGACGAUGGUGUAAAAAUGCUGAUAGUUACCGUUUUGUCACUUAAAAUAAAUGCAGGUAAUGAAGAGGUUGUGAUGGUACAAAUCAUUGUUACGAUGGUGAUUAUAAUUGGUGUGUUGAUGGUUAAAUGACAGUGGUAAUUAUGACAACAAAAUUGUGAAGAUAUUGAUUGGAACAGUUGCCUGGUUGCUGCUUUCGCCUGUUUUUCUUGUCAAGAAAUCGUUUAAACUGAAAUCAAGCAAAUUGUGAAAACCUGACUGGAAUAUGUUCAAGUCAUCUGUUGUCGACACAUGAAAAAGCAAGGAAGAAACUAUGCACUUGUCUGAUAGAUCAGAUUUGUGAGAACUUACGGAACAGAUAGAUAAUUUAAUGGAAAAUAAUGUAAGUACUUUUAUUUUUGUUGAAAAUACGAUUAUUUAUUCAGCAAAGCUUUCAAACUGUAAUCCCGAUCAUUGUCUGCAGUACGGUAAAUAAGGUUACUAUUUAGGUUCCAGGUUCUCAAGCAAGUUCUCAUUUUCUCAGCAAAAAGUUGUUGGUGCGUAUAUUUACUAGUCGUAUAUUAUUUCUUAAAUUUUCUCCGAAUGCAUGAAUACAAUUUAGCAAAUAAAAAGUUUUAAG